UAGGGAAUCUUCGGCAAUGGGGGGAACCCUGACCGAGCAACGCCGCGUGAGUGAAGAAGGUUUUCGGAUCGUAAAGCUCUGUUGUUAAGGAAGAACGUGUGUGAGAGUGGAAAGUUCACACAGUGACGGUACUUAACCAGAAAGGGACGGCUAACUACGUGCCAGCAGCCGCGGUAAUACGUAGGUCCCGAGCGUUGUCCGGAUUUAUUGGGCGUAAAGCGAGCGCAGGCGGUUAGAUAAGUCUGAAGUGAAAGGCAGUGGCUCAACCAUUGUAGGCUUUGGAAACUGUUUAACUUGAGUGCAGAAGGGGAGAGUGGAAUUCCAUGUGUAGCGGUGAAAUGCGUAGAUAUAUGGAGGAACACCGGUGGCGAAAACGGCUCUCUGGUCUGUAACUGACGCUGAGGCUCGAAAGCGUGGGGAGCGAACAGGAUUAGAUACCCUGGUAGUCCACGCCGUAAACGAUGAGUGCUAGGUGUUAGGUCCUUUCCGGGACUUAGUGCCGCAGCUAACGCAUUAAGCACUCCGCCUGGGGAGUACGACCGCAAGGUUG
rnacentral:rRNA from 1 species